UGGCGGCAGGCUUACACAUGCAAGUCGAGCGCUGUAGCAAUACAGAGCGGCAGACGGGAGAGUAACACGUGGGAAAGUACCCUUCGGUUCGGAAUAACUCAGGGAAACUUGAGCUAAUACCGGAUACGUCCGAAAGGAGAAAGAUUUAUCGCCGAGGGAUCGGCCCGCGUCCGAUUAGCUAGUUGGUGAGGUAAUGGCUCACCAAGGCGACGAUCGGUAGCUGGUCUGAGAGGAUGAUCAGCCUCACUGGGACUGAGACACGGCCCAGACUCCUACGGGAGGCAGCAGUGGGGAAUAUUGGACAAUGGGCGCAAGCCUGACCCAGCCAUGCCGCGUGGGUGAUGAAGGCCUUAGGGUUGUAAAGCCCUUUCGGCGGGGAAGAUAAUGACGGUACCCGCAGAAGAAGCCCCGGCUAACUUCGUGCCAGCAGCCGCGGUAAUACGAAGGGGGCUAGCGUUGCUCGGAAUCACUGGGCGUAAAGCGCACGUAGGCGGAUCUUUAAG
rnacentral:rRNA from 1 species